rnacentral:rRNA from 1 species
UACGGAGGGUGCGAGCGUUGUCCGGAAUCACUGGGCGUAAAGGGCGCGUAGGCGGCCUGAUAAGUAGGGGGGUGAAAUCCUGCGGCUUAACCGCAGGGCUGCCUUCUAAACUGUCAGGCUUGAGCACAGUAGAGGCAGGUGGAAUUCCCGGUGUAGCGGUGGAAUGCGUAGAGAUCGGGAAGAACAUCAGUGGCGAAGGCGGCCUGCUGGGCUGUUGCUGACGCUGAGGCGCGACAGCGUGGGGAGCAAACAGG